GGUUGAGGACUAAAAGACUAAAGAUGAAGAUUUGUUUGUGGAGUCAUACCCAUAAAGGUGAUAGCUGAAGUCUUGGGAUGAAAUCAUCCUUGGAGGAUGUGUUGAUCCAGAAAAUUGGCCAAUUACAAGAACUUGGAGAACACUGACACUUCCGGGAUGGUUCUAGGAGAGGAUACAGGAAAAGAUAGUGCAGGGAAAUGGGCACAGAAAUACGGUGAGACAGACCAGUGAAGUGGAGGCUAAAGAGAGAGGGACCCAGGAGAAGGGACAAGUGUGACAAAGUCUGAGAGGGGCUGGUGGGUUCGGCCGUCAGCAGAUCACUCGUGAUCUCUUUGAGAGCUGUCGCCACAGGGGAAAGUGGAGCUGAUGACAGUGAGAGGUCAAGUAGAGCCUGGGGUACGGGAAGGAGGAGUGGUAACAGCUUCUUCUUCCAUCUGCAACUACUUCUUCUUAGUUUCUUUAGAGGACUCUUUUCUCUGCUGCCCAGUAAAUGUUUAUGUUACCUAGGACUCUGUCCUUUGGCUCUAUGCUCGUAACAGUUAGGGUUCUCUUGGUUUCAAAUAACAGAAAGCAACUCCAGCUGGCUUGAGCAGAAAGAUUUAUUGCAAGGAUACAGGGUUACCUCACAGGACCCAAAGGAUGGAAUUAUUCUGGAGCAGGAAGGUUUCACAGCACCCACACUCAAAUCAUUGUGUGAUCAAAGAGCAGAUGUGGCUGGUGGGUUGAACCAGUGGUGUGCUACGAUGAAGAAAACGUCACUAGGGACAAAGCUGUCAGACUGACUGAACGUUGAAAGUAAAAAUUACCCUCCAAGCAAGGAGCCCCUGCUGGGGAUGAGAAGCCCCGCCAAUUGAAGAUGUGAUGAUGACAGCUUCUCCCGCAAGCAGCCUUCUCUUCUGAGGAACCCGCUGGUUCUUCCCACUGGCAUGCUUGCCUCUUUGUUGAUGAAAGUCCGCAGGGCUCUACCCAAUUCAGCUGGCUCCCACGCGAGUUGGGCUGUUCAGUGUGCGUGGGAUUCCCUUCGUGCGCCACCUCUCAGGCAUCCCAGCAUCUUCCACUCCAGCCACUGCUGGGAGCGCCUCCCCUCGGCGGCGCCCUGCACCGUCCCGGGGCCGGUUUGCCCGGACUGUGCGAACACCCGGAGGUGGCCCUCACACAGAUGCAACCGUUGACCAAUGAGGGAACAGGAGUCAGUGGAGAACUGCUUUCUCCUUCAGUCCCGCAGGUACACACCUCCGAGGUCAUCUCUUGGCUCGUGGUUCUGGUGAGACUGAGCUCUAGUUUUUCCUGGAAAUACCAAACUGGGACAGAGUUAAAGCCCAUUUUCCUGCCUCCCCUGCAAUCAGACACGACUCGGAGUUCUAGGGCUGUGCCAUGGCCAAAUCCUGAGAGACACUCUCACACCGUGUUGGCAGAGACUCACCAGUAAUCCAUGGGAUUAACUCUACACCACUUGGUUAGAAGAACAUUAUUUUAAAAUUCU